rnacentral:rRNA from 1 species
GAAUUUUGGACAAUGGGGGAAACCCUGAUCCAGCCAUGCCGCGUGGGUGAAGAAGGCCUUCGGGUUGUAAAGCCCUUUCGGCCGGGACGAAAUCGCACGGGUGAAUAUCCCGUGUGGCUGACGGUACCGGCAGAAGAAGCACCGGCCAACUACGUUCCCGCCGCCGCGGUAAUACGUAGGGUGCGAGCGUUAAUCGGAAUUACUGGGCGUAAAGCGUGCGCAGGCGGCCUCUUAAGCCAGAUGUGAAAUCCCCGGGCUUAACCUGGGAACUGCGUUUGGAACUGGGAGGCUAGAGUGUGGCAGAGGGGGGUGGAAUUCCCGGUGUAGCAGUGAAAUGCGUAGAUAUCGGGAGGAACACCAAUGGCGAAGGCAGCCCCCUGGGUUAACACUGACGCUCAUGCACGAAAGCGUGGGGAGCAAACAGG